GCUAGCUACAGGCUUAACACAUGCAAGUCGAGGGGUAGCAUGGUCUUAGCUUGCUAAGGCCGAUGGCGACCGGCGCACGGGUGAGUAACACGUAUCCAACCUGCCGUCUACUCUUGGACAGCCUUCUGAAAGGAAGAUUAAUACAAGAUGGCAUCAUGAGUCCGCAUGUUCACAUGAUUAAAGGUAUUCCGGUAGACGAUGGGGAUGCGUUCCAUUAGAUAGUAGGCGGGGUAACGGCCCACCUAGUCUUCGAUGGAUAGGGGUUCUGAGAGGAAGGUCCCCCACAUUGGAACUGAGACACGGUCCAAACUCCUACGGGAGGCAGCAGUGAGGAAUAUUGGUCAAUGGGCGAGAGCCUGAACCAGCCAAGUAGCGUGAAGGAUGACUGCCCUAUGGGUUGUAAACUUCUUUUAUAAAGGAAUAAAGUCGGGUAUGGAUACCCGUUUGCAUGUACUUUAUGAAUAAGGAUCGGCUAACUCCGUGCCAGCAGCCGCGGUAAUACGGAGGAUCCGAGCGUUAUCCGGAUUUAUUGGGUUUAAAGGGAGCGUAGAUGGAUGUUUAAGUCAGUUGUGAAAGUUUGCGGCUCAACCGUAAAAUUGCAGUUGAUACUGGAUAUCUUGAGUGCAGUUGAGGCAGGCGGAAUUCGUGGUGUAGCGGUGAAAUGCUUAGAUAUCACGAAGAACUCCGAUUGCGAAGGCAGCCUGCUAAGCUGCAACUGACAUUGAGGCUCGAAAGUGUGGGUAUCAAACAGAAUUAGAUACCCUGGUAGUCCACACGGUAAACGAUGAAUACUCGCUGUUUGCGAUAUACGGCAAGCGGCCAAGCGAAAGCGUUAAAUAUUCCACCUGGGGAGUACGCCGGCAACGGUGAAACUCAAAGGAAUUGACGGGGGCCCGCACAAGCGGAGGAACAUGUGGUUUAAUUCGAUGAUACGCGAGGAACCUUACCCGGGCUUAAAUUGCAGAUGAAUUACGGUGAAAGCCGUAAGCCGCAAGGCAUCUGUGAAGGUGCUGCAUGGUUGUCGUCAGCUCGUGCCGUGAGGUGUCGGCUUAAGUGUCAUAACGAGCGCAACCCUUGUUGUCAGUUACUAACAGGUUCCGCUGAGGACUCUGACAAGACUGCCAUCGUAAGAUGUGAGGAAGGUGGGGAUGACGUCAAAUCAGCACGGCCCUUACGUCCGGGGCUACACACGUGUUACAAUGGGGGGUACAGAGGGCCGCUACCACGCGAGUGGAUGCCAAUCCCCAAAACCUCUCUCAGUUCGGACUGGAGUCUGCAACCCGACUCCACGAAGCUGGAUUCGCUAGUAAUCGCGCAUCAGCCACGGCGCGGUGAAUACGUUCCCGGGCCUUGUACACACCGCCCG
rnacentral:rRNA from 1 species